AACUUUAAGCACACGUGUGCGUCCUCCGCUGGCAACCAUGGCAGGCGGGUCCUUCUUCGCAUGUGCUGCGGCCCGCACCUUUUUUGCAUCUUCCGUCAUCAGGGCACAGGCGCCUUGCAGGGCUAUUCCGAGUCCAGGUAGGGAUGGCUGAGCUCGAUGGCAGGAGGUCAGCCUGCGGUGGAGCAGGGACGUUUGCCCUGGGGAGACACGUGCCAUCGGGUGGACAUCGAGGCCAGGUGGGUGGCCCCACAGCGUGGAAGGGAUGACCGAGCUCUGGAAGAUGUCCUGAAAACCUAAGGUGCUGAAGCUAGAAGAGAAUUGACUUCAGAGACCAUCAGGCUGUUUCGUGGAACUUCCACCGAACAGAUGCAGAAAUGGAGACUAAGAAAUGAGACUCCGGGGCUGGAGAAAUGGCUCAGCCAUUAAGAGCACUGACUGCCCUUCCGAAGGUCCUGAGUUCAAAUCCUAGCAACCACAUGGUGGCUCACAAUUAUCUAUGAUGGGGAUCUGAUGCCCUCUUUUGAUGUGUCUGAAGACAGCGAUAGUGUACUGAUAUACAUGAAAUAAAUAAAUAGAAAUGAGACUCCA